AGAAUCAACGCUGGCGGCGUGCCUAACACAUGCAAGUCGAACGAGAAAGUGGAGCAAUCCAUGAGUAAAGUGGCGCACGGGUGAGUAACACGUGACUAACCUACCCUUGAGUGGGGGAUAACCUAGAGAAAUCUGGGCUAAUACCGCAUAAUACCUUCGGGUCAAAGGAGCAAUUCGCUUAAGGAGGGGGUCGCGGCCGAUUAGUUAGUUGGCGGGGUAAUGGCCCACCAAGACUGUGAUCGGUAUCCGGCCUGAGAGGGCGCACGGACACACUGGAACUGAAACACGGUCCAGACUCCUACGGGAGGCAGCAGUGGGAAUUUUGCGCAAUGGGGGAAACCCUGACGCAGCAACGCCGCGUGGAGGAUGAAGCCCUUGGGGCGUAAACUCCUUUCGAUCGGGAAGAUAAUGACGGUACCGAGAGAAGAAGCCCCGGCUAACUUCGCGCCAGCAGCCGC
rnacentral:rRNA from 1 species